rnacentral:rRNA from 1 species
UAGGGAAUCUUCCACAAUGGAUGCAAGUCUGAUGGAGCAACGCCGCGUGAGUGAAGAAGGUUUUCGGACCGUAAAGCUCUGUUGUUGGUGAAGAAGGAUAGAGGUAGUAACUGGCCUUUAUUUGACGGUAAUCAACCAGAAAGUCACGGCUAACUACGUGCCAGCAGCCGCGGUAAUACGUAGGUGGCAAGCGUUGUCCGGAUUUAUUGGGCGUAAAAGCGAGCGCAGGCGGAAGAAUAAGUCUGAUGUGAAAGCCCUCGGCUUAACCGAGGAAUUGCAUCGGAAACUGUUU